CAGAAAAUAAUUUAAAUAUAAAAUAUAAACUUUGGGAGUUUAAAAUGAUCAUUAUCUUUUCUGA
rnacentral:tRNA from 1 species